GCCGGAUGAUUCAACCUUGUAUGCAAAGAGGAGCCUUUGCUGGCUGUAUUUGAGUGAAGAGGACAAAGCUAUGGAUGAUGCUAAUACCUACAAGGCUAUGGAGAUGGAUCUAUCAAAUUCCUGCUAUGAACAAGCUGCAGCUCUGAUACUGACGAAGGAGUAUUCCCAAGCAUGUCAAGCACUCAUGUCAGGAUUGAAACUGGACCUGAGAAGUGACGAUCUGGAUUGAAAUUGGACUUGAGAAGCGAAUCAAGUAACCUGUGAAGGAACUUGGUACUACUGAGAUUUUGGAGGCGUGGACAGUCUUUUGUUUUCGUUUUGGGGCCUGCAUUUUCAUUGGAGGUUUGCCCGUGUUUGGCC